rnacentral:sRNA from 1 species
GAAUUUGAAAGGGAAAAACACGCCCACAGUAUACUGCAAUUUCAGUUUGCUGAAGUCAAGGAGGCCCUGAAGCAAAGAGAGGAAAUGCUCGAGAAACAUGGAAUAAUCCUAAAUUCAGAAAUAGCUACCAAUGGAGAGACUUCUGACACUCUCAAUAAUGUUGGAUACCAAGGUCCUACCAAGAUGACGAAAGAAGAGUUAAAUGCCCUCAAGUCGACAGGGGAUGGGACCCUAGAUAUUAGGUUGAAAAAGCUGGUUGAUGAACGGGAAUGCUUAUUGGAACAGGUAACAAUCUUUUUAUUACUUUACCGAUUCAUGAACAGGGCAUCUGAAACCACCUGCCCAUCCUUCCUUCUUGCUUACUCAGAAAACCCCUAAGUUAAUCAUGCCUGAAAGUCAUUAUCAAGCCAACUGGUGCUCUUAAGAUUGUUAUCCAAAUAGAACAUCAAAGUUGAUAUUUUCAUCCAAAGAGAGUAUCCUGAGUCAUAUGAGGUUUAAUAAGGAUGUCUCAAAGACCCAAAGCUGUGGAACUGGGUUUGGUACAUUUUACUGAAUUGCUGCUUAAAAUAAAUAUAAAUGUUGAUCAUUAAUAAUAUUAAUGAUUAACCAUUGAGAAACAAGAGCAUUACUGAGUCAUUCCAAAUAGCACUUCUCUUGUCCAUAUGGGUUGUUUGUCCAUAAAAGUCAGUUUUGUACUCUUGGUGAUCAGCACCCCUCUCUCACAGGUAUUUCUUUGCUACAGCUAGACAGAGUUGUUUUAACCGUGUUUAUCUUCAUUGCUCUCUUCUACCUCAAGACAUAGCAGGCCGGGUGCGGUGGCUCACACCUGUAAUCGUAGCACUUUGGGAGGCCGAGGCGGGCGGAUCACUUGAGGUCAGGAGUUCAAGAGCAGUCUGCCAACAUGGUGAAACCCCGUCUCUACUAAAAAUACAAAAAUUAGCUGGGUGUGGUGGUGGGCACCCGUAAUCCCAGCUACUGGGGAGGCUGAGGCAGGUGAAUCGCUUGAACCCGGGAAGCAGAGGUUGCAGUGAGCCGAGAUCGCACCACUGCACUCCAGCCUGGGUGACAG